ACUAAGCCACCCAGGCACCCGGUCGGGGGGGCUUCUACAGGCAGGGUGUGGUACGGAGCCUCCAAGAUGGGCACUGUCAAUCCCGGCCCUCCCUGUACAAGCACACUGCUCCUCUCUUCCAGAGGUGGAUUCCAAUUCCCCUCUCCUCAAAUGUGGACCAGCCUUAGUGAUUUCCUUGGCCACUAGCAUGUGGCAGAGGUGAUGGUUCUAGGCCUUCUGAGGCCAGGUCCUACAAAGUCCUAUAACUUCUGCUUGGCACUCUUGAACCACUCACUGUUGAGAUGUUUUCUCUCAGAAUCCAGUUGCCACGCUAUGAAAAGCUGAAACCCCAUGGAGAAGCCAUGUGGAGCUGCCUCAGCUUGACUCUUCAGCUGCUAUCUGCCCUCACUUGCCAGCCAUGGGAGUGGAGCCACUUUGGACUUGCAGCCCAUCUAGCCUUCAGAUCCCUCUAGCCCCAGCUGACAUCCAGCUGUGCUGUGCGAGACUCCCAGAGAGAACCACCUAGCUGAACCCGUUCAACUCACAGAACCAUGAAAGGCAAUAGCAUACAAAGACAUAUAGUACACUGUUCCAUCAAGACUCCAUGUUCCGGGGUGGUUGGUUUUGCAGUCCCCGAGGGCACAAAGGCAUUAUAUUGUGAUGUGUCACUUCUAGGCCCUCUCCCUCUGUGGGGCUGGGGAGAGGGGAUGGGGCAUGGAGUCCCCUGGAGUUUUCUCCCUGGUCUUGACUUGUCCAUCGCAGCACCUGUUCCCUUUGCUCCUGUCCUCUAGCAGCUCAUCAAAUCGAAUUAGGAGCUACAAUGAUGAAGGGAACAAUGCUGAUUUCCAAGAAGAUUUUGGAGACUUUUUACUUAGAACUAAAUCACAUUUUCUCCCCAACUGUUAAAAUUACCAGACUGAGCUGGAUUUGAAAUUUAGAAACCAAAUGUGAAAUAAAGACCCAUGCUUGGCAAAGA